rnacentral:rRNA from 1 species
UACGAAGGGUGCAAGCGUUACUCGGAAUUACUGGGCGUAAAGCGUGCGUAGGUGGUUCGUUAAGUCUGUCGUGAAAGCCCCGGGCUCAACCUGGGAAUGGCGAUGGAUACUGGCGAGCUAGAGUGCGGUAGAGGAGAGUGGAAUUCCCGGUGUAGCAGUGAAAUGCGUAGAUAUCUGGAGGAACACCGGUGGCGAAGGCGGCAUCCUGGACCACGACUGACACUGAAAAGCGAAAGCCAGGGGAGCAAACGGG